rnacentral:lncRNA from 1 species
AUCUUCUUUUCUUAUUCUUAGGUCAAUGAAAUUAAAUCUUCUAAAUUAUUAGGUCUUUAAAAUGAUAAAGUUAUGAGAUAAUUUGAUCAUAGCCACCCAUUAAGGUGCAUGAUAAUGAGUCCAAUAUUUCAAAUAGACAUUAGAGGCACCACACGCCUGCCGUCUAUUAUGUAUUAGAAUUAUCAUUCAUCAUAUGAUCACCAUAAUGUACCUUUAGAUCAAUGCUC